UACGAAGGUGGCAAGCGUUGUUCGGAUUUACUGGGCGUACAGGGAGCGUAGGCGGCUCGGUAAGCCCUCUGUGAAAUCUCCAGGCUUAACCUGGAACAGUCGGAGGGGACUGCUGGGCUAGAGGACGGGAGAGGAGCGCGGAAUUCCCGGUGUAGCGGUGAAAUGCGCAGAGAUCGGGAGGAACACCAAUGGCGAAAGCAGGUACCUGGACUAUUACUGACACUCAGCUGCGAAAGCUAGGGGAGCAAACAGG
rnacentral:rRNA from 1 species